CGUCGACCGUCCGGCCGCUAAACGCUCUUUCGCUCCGAUCUGGCUUCUUUUUUCUCCAAUUUUCGCGCAGAUAGUCCCCGCGUGGCGAGUCCGCAAUCGAGUUAGUCAAACGACUCCGUUUCCGGCUACAACAAAUUAGCAGCUGAAGAUCGAAAUCGCUCGGCGCACCGUCUCCAUAAACGGCGUUUUUCGUAUCGAAAUCGUACAACUUCUAAUCGAAAUAAGAUAGUACGAUAAUUCUUAUGGGGGUAUUUAUUAAGGAAACUAUCGUUGAAUGAAAUGAAAUGAAAAUGAGAUGAACGAAAGCGAGGAGGAAUGCGUCUGCCACCCAACCUUGCGAAAUUUACGCACCAGGCUCUCGAUUAUCACGGUUAGCAAACUUCUGAACUAUUGUCGGUGCGGUCUGGUAUUUCCAAAGGAUUCGAGGAAUGAACGGUGGUACGCGGUGCUCUCGUGGCGAGGAUCCAGACGAGGAGAAACGCGACGGUCGCGAACUAGCCAUAGAAAGAGCCAGCGUAUCGUUACUGCCGUGACGUGGCCGACGCGACCACAUCCCGAAGCGAUCUAGUUUCGGUUUACCAGCGCAGACUUGGCUGCCGUCGUUCGCGAAGAUCGAAAGUUCCGAUGGACGCACGGAGAAGCUGGGUUUUCCUCGAAAACAUAGGCGACUCGUCUGAUCAGGCGUGUACCGACAUGUAAAUUUACUGAACUUACACAAGCAUCGUCUCGCUAGAAAUAAAGAAGCGCAACAGAAAAGAAUGAAAACGUUGACGUUGAAGAGUUCGAUGGCGAUUAGAAAGCUGAAUAUUCGAUAUCGGUACGCUUCGCGAGACCGAUUUACUUACGCAAUCUAGCGAUAUUUAGUUAAAGUGUAGCGCCGGUGGUUUUCCUCCGCUAUGACUCGCACACUCUUGCGAUACAAAAUUUAAUAUACUCAAUUUCCGAAUGAAAAUUUUUAAAAAAUUGU